GUAAGUAUUUAUUUUUUUCCUUCAAGGGGGUUUUUGCUUUGCUAAGCCUCGGGCAUUUGGUUCGUGCAAGAAAUCACAGAAACUGCUCCAGCGGACUCCGAAAGGAGCGGAAAAUUCUUUUGUUUGGGGGCCAUGAGGGGUGGGGGAGGGGUGGGGAUUCUGGUGUAAGCUUUUGGCUUGCAUUCGCUUUCUCCCUCCGAAAGUGGGCGACAUCAAGCAAGUCCCAGUUACAGAAAGAACCCACUGCAGGGCGUCCAGUCACUUGCCCAGUGAAAAGACUGUAAUCAGACAACUUUAAUAAAGGGAGAGCAGGAGAGUGGUGACGAAUUUCCACAUUCCGAACAAGCUUGUCGAAAGAGGAGUGCAGGGAAGGAGCAAGAAUGAGGCACUGGAAGACGGCUGUAGGCGCAUGAUGUCACAAGUUAUUGGAAGAAAUCCCUCCAACCUAGGUUGGGACAGAUGAAGGCGGCGCUUAUUGGUGUUCACCAAAACACCAGCAUGGUGUACCAGCUUUGGCUAGAUGAUGCUCAGACGGGCCUGUCUAAUUGCAGGAAAACAAACUCAGGGCUCCCACUGAUUCUACAUUACGAACACCAGAGACUGGGUAAUUAAUAAAAAGAAGAAAUUGAUCUGGCCUACAGUUCUGGAGCCUUGGAAGUCCGAGAUCAAGGAGCUGCAUCUGGGUUCUAGGAUGCCUCAUAAAGGCCCGUAGUGUACUUUCUGUCUACUUCACUUAGCUCCGCAUUUGCAAUUUCUGUUAACAUGCAUACAGUUGAAUGGAUGGCCAGGAUCAAAGCUAUCUGCUGUGAGACACAAUGAGAAAUGCUUUUGUGUAAAGGAAAACACAGAUCCUGGUGCCGAACAUGAGGACAGGGCAGGCCGAAGGAGAAAGUGGAAGGAGGGGAGCUUCUCUCUCAGCCUCAUCCUUCUGGGCCUGGAUGCUGGAGAGUCAUGAGGUGCUUCAGAGUACUCUGGGUGAGGAGGGAAAGAUGGUGCCCACCACAUGGAGGCCAGCCUAGGUCUUGUAUGAAACCUGUGAGGAGAUUCUCUCUCCCUUGCUGUCUUUGAAAAAGCAAGUUGCCAUGUGAAGAGGGCCAUAUAGCAUAGGAGCUGAAGGCAGCCUCCAACUGACGGCAAGAAAAUGAGGUCCUCAGUCUGACAACCUGCAAGAAACUGAAUGUUCUAAAAGCCACAUGAGCUUGGGAGCAGAUCUGACCCCAGCCAAAUCUCUGAAGUCCGCAGGCAGGAAAUGAAGAUCAGAAAAAGGCUAUUGUCUCAUGAAUAUGAGCCAGACUCCACAGAAGCUGGAGUCCUUCAUUAUGGAGCUAAACACAUACACCUGGCUUAGGAGUCAGAAAAACUGAAAGAGAAUUCAGGGAAGUAGAGAAAUUGCAAGCCCAGAUGCUGCUUCAUACCAAAGAAGCAAGUCAGCAGGUCAGCAACAAUGUGUAUCAGUUCCAAAAUGACUUACACAGGUACCAAGACAAGACAUUAUAUACACUUAUAUAGUCAAAUACUUUAAAACUGUUAACAAACUUGCUACAAUUGUCUCAUUUGUCUUUUAACCUUAAUAUCACAGAUCAAGUUUGUAAUCUCAAAAGUUCACCCUGGCUGCUGUGUGGAGUAUUCUCUUAUCUGCUCAUAUUACACUGUGCUUAUUCAUUCAUCAGUUAAUGGAAAUUUGGGUUGUUUCCUGAUUUUGACUGUAAUGAAUAAUGUUGCUGUAAACAUUCAUGUACAGUUUUGUGUGGACAUGCUUUUCUUUCUCUUGGGUAGGUUCCUAUGAGUGGAAUCACUAGAUUGUAUGGUAAAUGUAUGUUUAACUUUUAAAGAAACUGUCAAACUGUUUUCUAACAUGAACGGGCCAUUUUACGUUCUUAUCAACAAUAUAUGAUGGUUUCAAUUUUCCCACAUCCUCACCAACAUUUGGUAUUGUCUCUCUUUUACAUCAUAACUAUUUUAGUGGGGAUGUAGUGAUAUCUUAUCGUGGUUUUAAUUUGUGUCUCCCUAAUGACUAAUGAUAUUGUGCAUCUUUGCAUAUGCUUGUUAGCCAUUUAUGUACAUUCUUUAGUGAAAUGGCUAUUCAAAUCUUCUGCCCAUUUAAAAAUCGAGUUGUUUUUCUUAUUAUUCAGUUGUAAGAGUUUUUUCUUUAUUCUGUGCAAAAGUCCUUUAUCAAGUCUAGGAUUUUUGAAUAUUUUCUCAACCUAGAGCUUGUUUUUCAACAUUUUUUUCUUAAUGAUCUUUUGAAGUGCAAAAGUUUGAUUUUGAUGAAGUCUAAUGUAUCACUUCUUCCUUUAACUGUCAUGAUUUUUGUGUCGUAUCUAAGAACUCUUUACCCAACUCAAAGUUACCAAGGUAUUUUCUUCCAGAAGUUUUGCAGUUUUAACUCUUCUAUAUAGGCCUGUGAUCCAUUUUUAAUUCAUUUUUUGCAUAUGAUGUGAGAGAAGGGCCUAAGUUCAUAUUCGUACAUGUGGAUGUACAAUGGUUCCAGGAUCACUUGCUGAGAAAAGACUAUCCUUUCCCCAUUGAUUUUUUUGGCACCUGUGUCAAAAAUCAAUUGACCAUAAAUGCAAGCGUUUAUAUCUGAACUCUCAGUUCUUCUCCAUUCAUCUCUAAGGAUAUGUCUAUGCUUACAUCAAUAUCACAGUGUAUUCAUGUGGCUUUGUAGUAAAUUUUGAAAUUGGGUGAUAGAAGUCUUUCAAUUUUGUUCUUAGUUUUCAGAAUAGUUUUGGCUGUACUUUGCAUUUUGAUACAAAUUUUAGGAUGUAUGUGUGAAGUUUUACAAAAAUGCUUGCUGGAGUUUUGAUAGGAAUUGUGUUGAACCUAUAGAUCUAUUUGAGGGGGGAAUUGCCAUCUUGACAAGCUUGAGUCUUCCAAUCCAUGGACAGGGAAUGUCUCCAUUUAUUUAAAUCUUCAUUAAUUUUUCUUAGUAACGUUUCACAAUUUUUAGCGUACAAGUCUUAAACUUUUAUUACAUUUAUUUCUGUUUAUUCUUUUUGAGGCUUUGUGAAUAGAAUUUUUUUAAUUUUAUUUUUUGGGCUUGACAUUGCUGAUAUAUACAAAUACAAUAGAUUUUUAAAAUACUGAUCUUAGAUCCUGCAGCUUUGCUAAAUUCUUCGAUUAGUUCUAGAUAUUUUGUGUAUAGAUUCCUUGGUGUUUUCUAUACGCAAGAUUAUGCCAUCUGCAAAUAGAAGCAGUUUUAAUUCUUCCUUUACUCUCAGUCUGCUUUUAAUGAGCUAUUAUGUCUUCUGUUCUGUAUUGGUCAAACCCUCACCUGGAUCACAGUAUUUAUUACUGACCAUCACAGUUUCCUUGAGGAAAUGAAAAAAAUUAAAAAGAUAAAGUAACUAUUACCAUAAUCCCUACAUUCGGACACAAUAUUUAUGAGCAUGUGGGGUAAAUUCUUCCAGACACUCUUGCUAGAGGACGUGUAGCAGAGCUUAUGAUGCACUGAGCCACAUCCUCCAGCCACCAGAUUCCAGUGUAGCUGUGGUGAACUUUGCCUUGCACUUUACCAGUGUCCAUAUAAGCUCAUAUCACAGUGUCUUUCUGUUUUGCUUUCUGGAGGUCAGGGAAGCCUGCUGAGCUAUAUGUAGACCCAACCCAUAUUUUCAAGGUAAUACUCCUUAGUUGAUAGAAGCCCUCAGUCGAUGGGAACAGGAUUUCAUGGAUUAAUGCCCCAGCUCCCCCAUCCUGCAGGACAUAGAAUGUGUGACUAUCCAAGAUGCUUGCAACAUGGUUUCUCAGAGUUCCCAAUGGAAUUGAAUCCCAGCUGCAUACAACUGUAACCCACUCAUUUAUUAACUUUUCUCCCUUCCUCUUUCCCUUCACUUCUGUUUCCUAAGACUACUUCCCUCUAAAUGAUCUGCACCCAAGUCCUUGUCUCAAGGUCUUCUAGAGAAACCCAAACUAAGGCAGUUUGUCAAGGGACAAACUAGGGUACAUCUUUGAAACAGUCAUUAGGAGAGUGAGAGGUCCUGCAACGAUGUAAUAUAAAAGCAGUGAAAAUAGCUGAGAAAAUUAGAAAAAGAGAAAACUUACAGGAAUAAUCAUAGUCAUCUUUAAAUACCUGCAAAGUAAUCAGAUAUAAGAGGACCAAAGGAGACACUGGUUUUAACUGAGCACCUUCCAGGUUAUAUACUAGCUACUAUGAAGUGUAUUUAUUCCAUCCUUACAGCAACCCAGAGGCAAUGAGAACUACCCUUAUUUUUCAAAUAAGAAAACUGAGACACAGAUGAUUAAGGAAUUUGCCAAGGUCCAAAGCUAACAGGUAUUGGAACUAGGAUUCAAAUCCAAGCCUGUCUGCCCCCUAACCUGUGUCUUGCUGCUGUGUGUUUUGCUUUGAAGGGCAAAACAGAGACCAGCAGGUAGACAUUCUAAAUCCAUAGAAUUGUGUUUAUAUGAAUGCAGUGUGUGGCAGAGAUUGUCUAGAUGUUCAUCAAUGCUGUUUUCUCUGUUCUGUUUCUGGACAUACAGGAACACUUCAUGUCCUAGCCUCCUUUAUAAGUAGAUUGGGGCCAUGUAACAGGGUUCUGGCAAAUGGGAAUGUGCAGAUGUGAUAUGUGAUGCUCCUGAUUCAUUCAUUCUGUCUCUUUCUCUCUCUCCCUCUCAGCUAGCUGAAAGCAGAGAACCCAGCAGAGGAUUCUGGGAAGGUCCUGGGGGAUGGCAGAGCCAGCAGAGAGAGGGUAUGGAUCCACCAGGCAUAGGAUGGAACAGAGCACUAUUGACCACAGUGAACUGGGGCAUGGGCAAUCAAUAAACACAUAUUAGAUUAAGCUAUUGAGACUCAGGGAUUUUUAUACAACUGACAUUCCCUAAGAAGCCAUGAUCUUCCUGUCUCAGGAGGUGCAUAAGCAGUGGUUGAAUGUUCAACAGUCAAGAAUGUUAUAAAAAGAGGUUCUUGGGAGAGUGGACCUGAUGGCCAGCAAAAAUCAUAGCUCACAUUUAUUGAGUUAUUAUGGCUCAGGCAUGUGCACAUAUUCUUUUAUUUAAAUCUACAAUAUGCUUUAUCAUGCUCAUUUUAUACAUGAGGAACACAAGGCAUGGAGAGGUUAGAUAACAUGCCUAAGAUCAUGAAGCAAGCAAGGGGGAGAAAAGAUACCCUUCUCACUCCUUCCAGACAGCUCACUUCACCACCACUCCCCACUGUCUCUAAAGCAAAAGUUAUUUGAAGGCUUAGGGACUGGUUUGGUAUUAUCCAUGCAGGGCGGUUUGUUUUGUUUUUCUUUUAAAAUUUCAGCCUAUGCUUAAAAGAUUUCAUGUAAAAAUUCUGUUUUCUAGUUUCUCUUGAAAAUUAAGAAGAUCUGGUAAAACUGGGCUUGAAGACCAUUAUGGUAACAGGCUGCUGAAGCUGAGGAGAGGGCCCCUUCAGAUGGGCAUAAGCACUGCUCCCCCUCCCCAACCCCCCUUUUAGGUUACUAUCAGACUCUGGAAGCUUCUGAAUGUGUGAACCCUGAAAGAGUCCAUCUAAAGCUAAGUUCUCCCCAGGGGUAGAGCCCAAUGCUGGGCAUACAGUAGGG
rnacentral:lncRNA from 1 species